rnacentral:rRNA from 1 species
AUUGAACGCUGGCGGCAUGCCUUACACAUGCAAGUCGAACGGCAGCACGGGAGCAAUCCUGGUGGCGAGUGGCGAACGGGUGAGUAAUAUAUCGGAACGUGCCCAGUCGUGGGGAUAACGUAGCGAAAGCUACGCUAAUACCGCAUACGAUCUAUGGAUGAAAGCGGGGGAUCGCAAGACCUCGCGCGAUUGGAGCGGCCGAUAUCAGAUUAGGUAGUUGGUGAGGUAAAGGCUCACCAAGCCGACGAUCUGUAGCUGGUCUGAGAGGACGACCAGCCACACUGGGACUGAGACACGGCCCAGACUCCUACGGGAGGCAGCAGUGGGGAAUUUUGGACAAUGGACGCAAGUCUGAUCCAGCCAUUCCGCGUGCAGGAUGAAGGCCCUCGGGUUGUAAACUGCUUUUGUACGGAACGAAACGGUGAGCUCUAAUACAGUUUGCUAAUGACGGUACCGUAAGAAUAAGCACCGGCUAACUACGU